rnacentral:rRNA from 1 species
GACGAACGCUGGCGGCGUGCCUAAUACAUGCAAGUAGAACGCUGAAGAGAGGAGCUUGCUCUUCUUGGAUGAGUUGCGAACGGGUGAGUAACGCGUAGGUAACCUGCCUUGUAGCGGGGGAUAACUAUUGGAAACGAUAGCUAAUACCGCAUAACAAUGGAUGACACAUGUCAUUUAUUUGAAAGGGGCAAUUGCUCCACUACAAGAUGGACCUGCGUUGUAUUAGCUAGUAGGUGAGGUAAUGGCUCACCUAGGCGACGAUACAUAGCCGACCUGAGAGGGUGAUCGGCCACACUGGGACUGAGACACGGCCCAGACUCCUACGGGAGGCAGCAGUAGGGAAUCUUCGGCAAUGGGGGCAACCCUGACCGAGCAACGCCGCGUGAGUGAAGAAGGUUUUCGGAUCGUAAAGCUCUGUUGUAAGUCAAGAACGGGUGUGAGAGUGGAAAGUUCACACUGUGACGGUAGCUUACCAGAAAGGGACGGCUAACUACGUGCCAGCAGCCGCGGUAAUACGUAGCUCCCGAGCGUUGUCCGGAUUUAUUGGGCGUAAAGCGAGCGCAGGCGGUUUGAUAAGUCUGAAGUUAAAGGCUGUGGCUCAACCAUAGUUCGCUUUGGAAACUGUCAAACUUGAGUGCAGAAGGGGAGAGUGGAAUUCCAUGUGUAGCGGUGAAAUGCGUAGAUAUAUGGAGGAACACCGGUGGCGAAAGCGGCUCUCUGGUCUGUAACUGACGCUGAGGCUCGAAAGCGUGGGGAGCGAACAGGAUUAGAUACCCUGGUAGUCCACGCCGUAAACGAUGAGUGCUAGGUGUUGGAUCCUUUCCGGGAUUCAGUGCCGCAGCUAACGCAUUAAGCACUCCGCCUGGGGAGUACGACCGCAAGGUUGAAACUCAAAGGAAUUGACGGGGGCCCGCACAAGCGGUGGAGCAUGUGGUUUAAUUCGAAGCAACGCGAAGAACCUUACCAGGUCUUGACAUCCCGAUGCUAUUUCUAGAGAUAGAAAGUUACUUCGGUACAUCGGUGACAGGUGGUGCAUGGUUGUCGUCAGCUUGUGUCGUGAGAUGUUGGGUUAAGUCCCGCAACGAGCGCAACCCCUAUUGUUAGUUGCCAUCAUUCAGUUGGGCACUCUAGCGAGACUGCCGGUAAUAAACCGGAGGAAGGUGGGGAUGACGUCAAAUCAUCAUGCCCCUUAUGACCUGGGCUACACACGUGCUACAAUGGUUGGUACAACGAGUUGCGAGUCGGUGACGGCGAGCUAAUCUCUUAAAGCCAAUCUCAGUUCGGAUUGUAGGCUGCAACUCGCCUACAUGAAGUCGGAAUCGCUAGUAAUCGUGGAUCAGCACGCCGCGGUGAAUACGUUCCCGGGCCU